GCCUGCCACAGAUGGCAGAACGUGGGUCUGAAAGUCAGGGAAACAGCCGACCUAGUUUAGUAGUCCUACUUGGUGAGAAGUGAGAGAAUAUGCAUUAUCCACCGUCGAAUGUCAAAGCAUGGUAUAAGGGAUCCCAGGAUCUCAUCCAAAUUCUGGGUUCAGAAUGAUGCAAGGACGUCUCAGGUUCCGACGUACAAAGGUUCAGAGACUUCGUGUGCAAGAAUCCAUGCCACGUCUGGAUCCACCGGGAAUUGUCCGCACACUACAACUACAAACUGUUCGCCGUAGAUGAUAUUCUGUGCCAGCCCCCAACAGUCAAAGGCAUAGCUAUGGCAACCAUAAAGUCAUAAAUUAAAGCUCUAUAUUGGGGGACUCAGAAGGAAGUACAAAAAUAAAUUAAGACCAUAUUUUUUUCACCCAUUUUGGAAAGAUAAACCCAUAUACAGUAUAAUAUAGACUAUUUUAAAUUAAGUUGAAAUAUUUCAUGCUUUUAUUAUUUAUUACACACUAGGAAUCUAAUUCAUUUAGAUUUGGAGUGCUUUCGCUGCCAGCCUCUCCCAGUCAAAAAUUGAUUGGAUGUCAAGCGCUGUCAAUGGCAGCCAAUGAGUUAAAUGUUGAUGUUUAUGGCUUGCAAAAAUAAGAAACCCUAAAAUUUUAUGUCUCAGAAUUACGAAAAAAAAAAAAUUCUGGGCCCUGCAACACAUUGUCUGUUAUUGCAGAAAUGUUGGUAUAGUUUUAGUUGCCACUUCUGGGAGAUGAUUGAAUGAAAUUUUACCCAUCAAAAUCAAAUUAUGAGGUGUGGCACGCCCUCUUUGCUUGUUGGCUCUUUGAAAAUGGCUUAACAAGUUAAACUUCAAAAGGGAUAAUGUAAAGUGCACAUUUCUAAUCAAAAACAUAACAUUAAAAAAAAAAAAAACAAUAAAAGCAUGAAAUAUCCCUGACCAAAAAAGUUAAAUAAAAUUAUAUAAAUGCGAACACUUUCACAGUCUAGGGCUAGGCACAUACAGUUGAGGCUAAUCAAUAACUAAAUUUGCCAUAUACGAUGUGUGCAUGUUUAGUUAUAUUUUAGGACUAGUUGGUUCAACUUUAAAUUACAUAUUUGCAGUUUUAUGUGAUGGUCCACAUGGUUAUCAUCCCCAUGUCGAUGUCAGUCCCAGAAGUGCAGCUGCGACAGGCCUCGACUCCUGAAGAAAUUCAGCAGAUGUCAGAAUUUUCUAAUGUAUUGAAUGUCUACAACGAGACUAUCCAUCCUGCGUCAAAUAUUUGGACUUGUUUUAAAUGACAGCAUAGAAUGUUGGUUGUCGUUGAUGUGACAGUACCUCAAUAAUGUGAAGAAAUAAUAAAGGCAAUGAUUGUUUUUCUGCAAAGUAAUAUUUUAUUGAUGACCAGUGUAAUACAAUACAAAUGAUAAACAGGCAAUUGAUGUACAAAAAAGGACUUCCAGCACAACUAACUCGUUCAUCAAAAAAAUUGUCCACUGGACACCAACAUGAGCCACUUAAGGUCAGUAACUUUUUCCCAUAAUACUGGCCAACUGCUCACCAUCAGCAUUCCCUGAAAUGUAAAUUUAUUGCGUCUUCGGGGAGCUUUAGGGUAAAAAAAAAAAAAAAAAGCACGUAGAUAAGUGAGGACGAGAGAUGUCUUAUUGUUGAGGAACGACACCCCAACCUUCCUCAGA